CGUGACAUGUGACAUCGCCACCAGGUGUACUUCAGUUAAAUACCAAAAUCUGAGCACACUUGGUAGCGGUGCCUUAAGUCAUU
rnacentral:pre_miRNA from 1 species